rnacentral:precursor_RNA from 1 species
AAGAAGGGGAGGGGGCGAGGAGUUAAUUAGGUCCACGACUUUUUCCAGCCUUUUUUUUGUGUAACGAGUAUUUUUUUUGGGAAUAAGAAGGAGACGGUUUUUAGGGAGGAAGUUGGGAAGGCGGGGAUUUUUGAACUCAGACUUUGAAACUCGUAUUUUUAGUUUUAGGAUAUUAAUUUUUUGUAUUAAUUUUUU